UGUGCAAGUGAUUAUAAAACAGACAGGGACAUCAGAAUUUCAAUGAUGAUUUGUCUUUGGGAAUCUCUAUGAUGCACA